CUGUGACUAAUGUCAGCUGACCAGAUCUCCUCCUCCAAAGCAGGGAAAUCUUUGAACAGAAUUGAUCAUUGAAAAGCUCAGACUCAUAAAAGCGAUUUCCAAGUGGUGCUGGGACAGAAGUGCAGAAGUGUGGCCACUCUGUGUGGUUUGGGCAGUGUGUCAGAAGUCUGGAACUUCUGAAGCUGAAAUGCACAAAGAGAAAGAGAAGAUGAGACUAGAUGACGGUCAGUAGAACUUUUAGAACAGUAGUAAAACCAGGACUGUAAAUCAGUGUUUUCCCAUUCUUAUUCCUGUCUUCGCUCCAGUAUGAGUGCUGCUCCACGAGAGAAUUACUGUCCUCAUAAAAUUCCAGCUCAGGUUUGAAAAUCCAGGUGUCCCGGAUAAGCAUAAAAUUUUGUGUGCUCCCUUCUAAGAGAAAGUUCAAAAGACUUAGAUUUUUUGUGUAAUUUGGAUAAGCAACUAGAAUUUCAUGCUUAUCCAAAUAGUGCUAAACCUCUUAGUCUUUGAACUUUCCCUUAGAAGGGAGCAUCAGAAGAAAAUUAAACGAGAGGAGUGUGUAGAAGGGUUCAAGCAAAGAGGAAAUACAGAAAAAGAGAAGGGAUAUCUGUGUGUGUGUGUGAAUUUGGAAGCACAUUUUGCAGUGAUACGGAAGAUCUACUUUGAAUGUAUCAAAAGAGAAAAUGUUCAUGGAAAUACUGCACAUGUAGUUCAGCAUUGUGCAGGAGCAAGCCUUCAGGUCCAAACUUUCAAAAUGGCUGAGACUGUAUUCAAGCAUUUGAGUAUAGUUGGUAAGUUUAUUAAAGUCUUUGAAAAUCAGUCCAUGCGCAGUACAAUAGAUUGGGGCUAGAC